rnacentral:tRNA from 1 species
UAGCUGAGUUGGUAGAGCAUGGUGUUUGCAACGCCAGGGUUGUGGGUUCGAUUCCCAU